rnacentral:rRNA from 1 species
UCUGGUUGAUCCUGCCAGACCCGACUGCUAUCAGAAUGAGAUUAAGCCAUGCGAGUCGACGUAGCAAUACGUGGCACACGGCUCAGUAACACGUAGUCAACAUAACCAGAGGACGUGGAUAAACUCGGGAAACUGAGGCUAAACCGCGAUAGACCAAGAUACCUGGAAUGGUUUUUGAUCAAAAUCUGUAUGGCCUUUGGAUCGGACUGCGACCGAUCAGGCUGUUGGUGAGGUAAUGGCCCACCAAACCUGUAACCGGUACGGGCUCUGAGAGGAGGAGCCCGGAGAUGGGUACUGAGAAAAGGACCCAGGCCCUAUGGGGCGCAGCAGGCGCGAAACCUCUGCAAUAGGCGAAAGCCUGACAGGGUUAUUCUGAGUGACUUUCGCUAAGAAAGUCUUUUGACAUCUCUAAAAAUGGUGUAGAAUAAGGGGUGGGCAAGUCUGGUGUCAGCCGCCGCGGUAAUACCAGCACCCCGAGUGGUCGGGACGAUUAUUGGGCCUAAAGCAUCCGUAGCCGGUUUUACAAGUCCUCCGUUAAAUCCAACUGCUUAACAGAUGGGCCGCGGAGGAUACUAUAAGACUAGGAGGCAGGAGAGGCAAGCGGUACUCAGUGGGUAGGGGUAAAAUCCGUUGAUCCAUUGAAGACCACCAGUGGCGAAGGCGGCUUGCCAGAACGCACUCGACGGUGAGGGAUGAAAGCUGGGGGAGCAAACCGGAUUAGAUACCCGGGUAGUCCC